rnacentral:lncRNA from 1 species
AAUGAUCUUGGCUUUUUGAUAAAUGCCUAUGAUCUUCCUCUGUGGUGGUCAUUAUACUCUUUCCCUUUCCUGGUUUCCUUAGGAUCUUAUUCAUAAUUGGGACUCUAAUUAAGAAACUGGAGGGGACUUAUUAGAUAAUAUACCAUUUCAGCUUGGAUGAAGUAGUGAAAUGACCCCCUAACUAGAUAGUAAGUGGGACAAAUGCUCUCGUACCUUCCUUCAUACCACUGAAUCCAUGACAGAAAGAAAGGCUCUGACGCCUUCCAUGCAGAGUGCAUACCAAUACUGUGAAAGAAGAGGGUUCAGUACAGAGCUUAGGGCACAGAGCAUAGUGAUUUUUCCAUAAAAUGUAAAUGAAGACAUGGAAUGUUUUCAUGGGAUGGGCUACCUAUAAUCUCUCCUAACUUCAGCUCUACCAUUAGUAUAAUUUCCAAAAUGGCCAUUCCAGUCCUACUCAUUCAUGGAGCCCUGAGUGCUUUAUUAGACAUUUGAUUUUGUAAAUACAUUUUUAAAAGUCAGCUCAUGAAGACUUCAGUUCAGCAAACUAUACUAUACUUUGCUAUUCAGUUUACAGGGUGGUCUUUCUCAUGUGCAUUAAGUGACUGAUUUUUCUUUUAAAUAAAGAUUAUUUGAUACCAAUAUAGAAAUAUAUUUUCUAUAGGUUAUUUGGGAAGUUUGCAAAUGAUCACCUUUGAAAUUGAAGUG